rnacentral:lncRNA from 1 species
UCAAAAUGCAUCAAGCACUCUUCUAAGAGUUUAAAGAAUAAUCUGGUUCGGGCAAUGCUCUGCUCCCAAGCUUUAAUAAGUGUUUCAUCAUCCAAGUUGCGCACUAUUUGCAGAAAGAUAAUCAAGACUUCACGUUUUUCAAUUGUACUCAGAUUGUAAAAGACAGGCAUCUCAUCCAGGAUCUGCACACACAUAUAAAAAUGUCACAGAAGGCGAAAAACAUAGAAAAACUCAACGUUUGAACUGCAUAUUUAAGUGCAAAACACAAGAUUAAGCAAAUGACAAAAAACAAGAUAAUGUAUAUGCAAUAAAAGAACAAAUAACAAUAUAUACAAACAGCAACUGAGGACCAAGAAUUUCAAAAAUUGUAACUGAUUGGAAUAAAUGAAGUAAAAACCUGUCCAUCAAGCUAAGGUAAAAUCACUAAAAUCAUUCAGGCGAGUAACAUUUACAAAAUGUUCUGUUCUAGCAUCCCAAGCUGCAUUUCUGCCUGGAAAUUGACAAGGAGGCUGUUCUGGGAAACCUCGGUGAAGGUGUAGCUGUUGUAAUAAGUUAGGUUGUACCCAUGAUGCGUGCCUCUCUCUACAUGGUAAACCAAAAAACUGUUAAUGUUGCUAAGAGUGAAUCCACUGAUACUCCACCCAAUCAAUUGUUCUCUGUAUCUGAAGUAGAAUAUACCGACUUUUAUUAGCAUCUGGCGAGUAGGCAGACAUUCCACCAAUAGCUUUUGUUGCUCAAACUAGUCAUCUUGUUGCUUGUAUCUCCUAUUGCCAAAAUUGGUCCUUGGCUCAUGGACUAGGGCGAUUCUAAUCACAUUUCCAGUAUUUAAUGUUUAAUAGUGUUCAUUUUCAGCUCCGUCCCACUAGCUAAUGGUUCUCAAACCAUAGCAACUGGAGUAGCUCUCGUCAAAUGUUUCCUUCCUUUAAUCUGAAUAGUGUUCUUGUUAUCCUUGAUUGUCCCUUCAGCCUUAUUGCAAUCCGUCGUUUGGCUAGAGCCCCAAAUAGUUUCAUCUAAUUCAUUAGAACCUGUUUGAAUUGGUUUAUCUUCUACAACUCCAUCUUCCUCAACUCUACCUCCAUCACUAUUGACUUAUCAUCGUCAUCAUCGCUUCUCAUCCGUCCCAAACAAUUAAAGUUCGCCGCAGACUCUUGCCUGUUGCAGACUUGUCUACACAAAGUUCUCCAAUUGUCACUCCAAAAGGUAUUCGUUCUACGUGCAACCCCAUCCUACCUAUACUUCUUUGAGCUAUCAUUGUUUAUCACCAGAUCAUUCUGCCUUUAUAUCAUUAUUAUCCACCGAUUCAAUUUCAAAGACUACAGGUGAAGCUUUCCUCAUUCAGGCCGGCAAUAAGCUAUGAUUGGAGAAAUAUCUUACACUAUAGUGGCAUUUGGGAGCUUGUUCCUCUACCCCCAGGUAAGCCUACAUAGGGUUUUCGUUGAGAUAUAACGUGAAGGUUGGGCCCAAUGAACAGAUUGAUCGCCAAAAGGCACGACUAGUCACCAAGGCUUUUACACAGAUUUUUAUCUUGACUAUGGUGAUACCUUCUCUCCUGUAGCUAAUAAGAUUGUUUGAGUUCGUCUAUUUUUAUUUAUGGUUGUUGUUCGCCAUUUGCCUCUGUAACAGUUGAAUAUUAAAAUGCUUUACUACAUGGGGAUAUCGGAGAUGAGGUGUAUAUGGAGCAAACACCGGUUUUGUUGCUCAGGGCAUCUAGCAACUCGGCAUGUAAACAAUGAUGAUUACUUUAUGUCUUGAAGCGGUCUCAUUGAGCAUGGUUCAGAAAAUUUAAUAUUGGUCAUUCAUGAGUUUGACAUGGUUUGCUGAAGCUGAUCAUUCUACAUUUUAUCACAACUUAACUCCAGGUUUAUGCAUGUACUUGGCAGUUUACAUUGAUGUCAUAUUAUCACAUGCAAUGACUACAAAGGAAUAACCAAGUUGAAACAACAUAUUUAUCAGCACUUCCAGACGGAGUAGUUUGGUUGAUUGAGGUACUUCUUGGGCAUUGAAGUUGCUCAAUCCAAAUCAGGAAUUGACAUUUUACAUAGGAACUACAGACUUUAUAUUCUUGAGGAGACAUGGAUAACAAAUUGUAGGCUUAUUGAUACUCCAAUAGAUCCAAAUACUAAGCUCCUGCCAGGUCAGGGAACGCCUAUCAAUGAUCCUGGAGGAUAUAGGAGAUUGGUAGGAAAAUUGAAUUCUAACUGUAACUUGCCAUGACAUUGCUUUCGCAGUCAGUUUUGUAAGUCAGUUUUUAGAUUCUCACUGUGAGAGUCAUUAGAAUCUUUGAUCCACAAAAUUUGCUCCCGGAAAAAGGACUAUUUUACAAGCACAAGAAAAUUAUAAGAUAUACAGAUGCAGACUAAGGAUCCUCCGAGAGACGAUCCACUUCAAGAUAUUGUGUUCUAGUGGGGGAAAUUUGGUGUCGUGGAAAAGUAAGAAAAAAAUAUGUUGCUAAAUUGAGGGCAGGAGCAGAAUAUCGAGCUAUGGCAAUGGCAACAUGUGAAUUAAUAUGGAUCAAGCAAUUACUAAAGGAGUUGAAAUUUGGAGAGAUUAAAAAAAUGGAACUUGUGCGCGAUAAUGAGGCUGCAGUUCACAGUACAUCGAUUCCAGUGUUUCACGAGAGGACCAAACACAUAAGAGUGAUUGCCAUUUUGUCAGAGAGAUGGUACUAUCCAGAGACAUCAUCACAAAGUUUGUGCGGCCAAAUGAUCAGCUUGAUGACAUAUUCACCAAAGUCCCUAGCCGGUCCCGGAACAAGAUAAAUAUGUAGCAAACAUGGUACAUAUAAUUUGUAUGCACUAGCUUGAGGGGUGUGUUAGAAUCCUCUUGAAUAUUCAAGGUUAUAUGUAUAGUAGGUAGUUUAAUUAACUCCUAUCGUAAUAAGGUAGUGAUUUACUUCCCUUUUUUCAGAACAUGUAAACAUAGUUAUUUAAACCCCAUUAGCUUGACAGAAAAAUCAAGUUGAGUUUUCUCUCAAACUCUCUUUAUUCUUACAAUUGGUAAAUAUGCUCACCAAAACCUUGUAAUGUAGAGCACUAUAGACGCUUUGCAAGGAAGUUUCUAACACGAAGUAUUUUUGAACAAGAUGCGCAAGAAAACAACAUUAUCAUUCAGGGAAAAUUAAAGCUUAUAAAACAUUGCUUAGUACAAUUACCAACCUGACCAACAAGGGGAAAAUAUAAUUGAGCAAUAUAUAAUUUAUCCUCUUGCUUUUGGUAGCGAAUAUCAAACUCGUGCUUACACAUGAGGACCACCAAGAUUCUUGCAGCCUAAAAAUAUAAAAAGUGAACGUUUAAUGUGCAGCUAGAAAUCCUUAGCUAGGUAAAAUAAUUGCACAGAAUUCCCCACAAAGAGCAAAGGACUAUAAGGAGGAAAUUUUGAAUAAAUAUAUCAGCAUCAAGCUACGCACUCACUUUUGCCCUCAUUGACAAGUCAUCGUGAUCCCAUGUAAGGAAAAUCUCUUGGAUUAAGAUAGAUGAAAGAUAAUUCCUGUAUAUAAAAAUACAACACCACAAAUUAAAACAGUCUAUCAGGCCAAGUGAUUAACAAAAAAUGGGAAAGCACAGUGAAACAUUGUCAGCAUUGUCAACUGGCACUACAAGCAAAUCAAAAAAAGAAGUUCAAAUCAAGAAGCAUGCUGCUACUGCCAUUCCAUGUGGUUGCUAUGGGAAACAGAAGGGCAUUAAGCAUUGAAUGGUACUUUUGUUGUUGUUGAUAAGUAAAAGCAUUGGGGAAUACAUAAAAAGAUGACGUUUAGAUAAACUUCUUUGUCCAUGAAAUACUGUUCAUAUUUUAGGUAACAUUUUAUAUCAGGUAAAGCAAUCAUAUGGAAUAGCAGCAUGGAGGAAGACAACAGAGAGGAAGAUGAAUUCCAUUAAAUUGUGAGAUCUAAACCAGGAAAUGGAGCCGCAAUGCAACUUUUAGAAGAAGAAAUUGUGCCUUGACGCCGUCUAUUUGGAUGCUAUUGACCUAUAUCGAAGGUCUUUACACAGCGGAUAGCAGUAGUCGUAAAGAUCUGCAAAGAGUGGGAGUCAUGGGACUAGAACUUCAGUAAGAAACUUAGAGAACUGGGAGAUGGAAGUGUUCACGUUACAAGAACAACCUUAAAAUCAUUAAACAUCGAACAUAGACAGAUAUUGCGGGAAACUGGAGGACUUGCACUUACACAGAAAAGUCUCUCUAAUUGGAAAAAUGAGAACUCUGUGACAGGUAGUUCCCAUAUUCCAUAAUUUGGAUUCCUAAAGCACCAAGAAAUGCACGGGAAUCCAUCCUAACAGUCGAAAAUUCGAUGAAAACCAAAUUUACUUAAUAUUAGCUGGUACUUUCAUGUGCAAGAAUGCAGGAGAGGAUGUAACUCAUUUAAUGCUCCAUCAUCUUAUGAAUCUAGGUUAGACUGUAGAUUUGGGAAUAUAUUUGGAAUUGAAUGGAUAAUACCAAGAAUUAUUAGGGAGCAGCCUUUCAGAUGACAAUGCAGAAAGAAAAGGAAUAGAAGAAAAGCAUGGGACAUGACUCCUCUAGAAUUCAAAUGAAAAGUACUAAAGAAGAGAAAUAGAAGUGUGAUUUAUUGAGAAACUGCUCUAUGUACUUGUAGGAGCACAAAUGAUAUUCCAAUUUGCCUUGAUGAUCAGCUGCCAUUGCACAAAGCCAUGUGUGCUUGCAGAUUUCUAGUCUAUUUAUUUUUUUGAUAGCAGUGGUGACCGGGCCAGGUUGCGCGGACCUCGACGUUGCUUACGAGUUUUUGCUCUCUUAUUAUAUUUAUUAUGCAAGGUUUCGCCAUCAUAUUUCUUAUCAAUAAAUAUCUGGAAUCUAGACAAUAAUUAGAGUAUCUAGAAUCUAGUUCGUUGCAAUAGGGAUUGAUACAAUUAUUGAAUUAUUAGACAUCUUGCUAUCAAUAUCAUUCGCCUUUAACGUUAUGUACCUUUUUCAACAACCACAAGAGCUUCUCGAAACUAGCCCAUAUUCAAGGCUUAACCCUGCUUUCUUUUAACUAUGUCCAUUCACUUGCACUUGCUCUAACCAGAGGGGAUCUAGCAUUUUAGUUGUAUGGGUUCAAUCAUCAUAAUUUUUAGUAUUUGAAAUCAUUUGUAUUUUAAAAAUUAUGGGUUCAAACCUACUAUCUAUUGCAAUUUUAAAAGAUUUUUACACAUUAAUUUAUCAUCUGCACUGAAAGUACUGGUUAGGUGAACCCGCAGCUAUAUAGUUGCAUCAGCCCCUGGCUCUAUCACAUGCAUCAUUUUACUUAUGAUCAAAGACAUGAAAUGUAUCAUCACGAAUAUAGUUGAAUAACAAGAGCAAGCACCUCCUUUGUUACCAAAUUAAAAGGAAUUAUGCAAUUUUUAGAAUAGCUUCCACAUUCAUGUUGUCCUAAGCUAAGUUGUGCGGACUCUUCAUUUUUUGUUGCCCAUAUCGACAUGACAUGGGUGCGGGAUUUGUGUGGGAUUUGGUCACUCCACAUCAGAUACUUCGAACAUAGUCCAUGGAAAUAUCUGGGGGUAAUACUGCGAUUUUGAUUUGUUAGAAUAUGAGUAGAUAUAGGAAUAGCAUAUAGAAUCCAACUAGGAAAAGGAUUGUAGUGUAAUGUCCUAUUUGGAAAAAGAUUGGAAUAAAGUGUCUAUAAAUAGGGUCUCAGUUUAAUAAUGUUGAAACAACGAUUCAACAAUAUCCUUCUCUUAUAUUUCUCACAUGGUAUCAAAGUCUCUACGAUCUUGGCAGAGAAUCAAAGAGUUUCCGCUCCCGGCGGGCGGCUAUAAUCCAUUUAUGUCACCCGUUUGGCCAAUGAGCAUAUUAGCAAAACUUGGGUCAUCGUGCUUCUUUUCAGUGGCUUAUCAUAUCUAAUUUGUGUAGACCAUGCAUCUUUCCGAUGACUACUUUCUCAUAUCUGAUUUGUGUAGUACCGUGCAUCUCUCCGAACUACUUCUGAUGUUUAAUUUGGAUAGUACCGUGCAUCUUUCUGAACUACUUUCUCGUAUCUGAGUUACAUAGCACCGUGCAUCUUUCCUGUGACUCCUCGUUUGAUUUGCGUAGUUCUGUGUGUCUUUCCGAUGACUUCUCAGAUCAGAUUUGUGUAGGGUCGUGCCAUCAUUCCGACCCUACCAAUAUAAUUUUUCCUUUUCAGUAGGGUCUUGCCGUUAUUCUUAUCGUACCCAUAUAAUUCUCCUUUUCAGUAGCAUCGUGUCAUCAUUCCAACCCUACCCAUAUAAUUUCUCUUUUACAGCAGGGUCGUGUCGUCAUUCCGACCCAACCCAUAUAAUUUGUCGUUUCAGCAGGAUUGUUCCCACAUUCCGACCCUAUCCAUAUAAUUUCUCUUUUUCAGUAGGAUCAUGACAUCAUUUCGACCCUACUCAUAUAAUUAUCUUUUCUAGUAGGGUUGAGCCAUUAUUUCGACCCUACCCAUAUAAUUUUUCUCAGAUUGUGACAACUUUUCCGACAUCAUAUCUAAUAAUCCGGCAUGUGAGCAUGUUCCAUUCAUUUUUUCAGUGACUUUCUUGUUCAAGAUCUACUCAUCUCUCGAUUUCGAGAUGACCUAUAUAUUUUACACCAUUUUCCGGCAAUUUUCUAGUGACGGAUCAACUUUUUGACGAUGUUUACUACUUUUUCGACCAUUUUUUCAUUUUGUUCCUUUCAACUGACCAGAACAAUCCUUACCAAUUUUCCUGCAGAUAUGUCCACCAAGUCCCUGAUCCUCAUAUUUGUUACAUCCAUAACAAGCUUGGUACAUAUGCUUUCUAUGCACCGACUUGAGGAAAAGUGUUAGAACAUGAGUAAGAAUAGGAAUAACAUAUAAAAUCUUGCUCGGAAAAGAAUUGUAAUUUAGUGUCCUAUUUGGAAAAGAAUUGGAAUAUAGUGUCUAUAAAUAGGGUCUCGAUGAGCCGUUUUCAUUCAAGAUGGACAGGAAUAGGAUUUACUUCAAUGUUGGAUUUAAGUCAUAUGACAUUACUAGAUGGAACUCGGACAAUGUAGUUUGGUACGAAUUGGUUGAGAAGAGUAGAAGACUAAUGAGAAGAACAUCAAUGAGCAGCAAGAUAAUAGAGUGGAUUUGCUUUACUUUAAGAGAAGCUUCCAAAGAUCAGAAGAAGGUGGUCAGAAGAUGGAAAACCUCAGAAAGAGAUGAGAUAGUUUUUCACACAAGGAAGCAAAAUGAACGGGAGAUACAUGAGUAUUCUCUCAGUAAAUAAGGGAGGGAGGUCAGUAUUGAUUUUACCAGAGAUAACAUUAAAUGCAGGUUGAUGUGACAUAGCAUUUAAGAUUGAGAACUUCACUAAAGACCCUAAAAAGCAGGAAAAUGUUGGUCCCUCAAUGUUAACAGAAGCCAACUACCCCUUUGCAAAAGCAGUUAAGGAAAGUAAAUGGCAAUCUAGAGACAUUCGAGAAGCUUAAGUGAAUAGCUCGGCAGGCAGAAUUGAAAUUGCAGGCUCUUCAUAGUCUCAAGAGGAGGGGCUGUUGAGUAGAUGUCUUGUUGGUAGCCUAGAAAUGAUCUGCAAGGAGAAGCCCACGCUAGUUGAUACGAGGGCAUGGUCAUCUCAAACCUGGAAAAAUGUUUUUGGGAUGAACAUCUAUGAGAUGUACGGAGACAUGUUCCUUUUUGAAUUUCCAAAUAGAUACAUGGCAGAGCAAGUGCUACAAGGUCAAUGGACCUAGAAGACGAAAAGAUUCAACCUUGAAAGAUGGUCUCCAAUGGCAGGUUGUGUUACCAUCCACUGUAGCAAAGGAGACAUGGAUCAGAGCAAUUGGAAUACCUCUGCACCUAUGGUCGCAAAAGGUUUUCUAUGAAAUUGGACAAAUGUGUGGAGGUUGGGUGGCCACAAAAGAAGAGACGGAGCUCAGAAAUCACACGAAAUAGGCAAGAAUUUUGGUGGCUACUGAUGGAAGAAAGAUACCCAGUGAAGUAUCAAUAGCUCAUAACGGCAACACUUUUUUCAUCUCGAUUUGGGCCGAGAACAAACCCAGAUGCAAAAGAAAGCCGGAGUUGCCCAAGGAAGCUACCAAAGAUGACGAUGUUGACUGUUACACAUUCCAUCCUUUUACCUAGAGGUUAAACAGAGGCAACAAUCUACUAUGAAUUUGAAUUCCCAUCAAUCUACGGAUUCGAUCUGCAGAAACCACAUAGGUUUUCCUCAAUUUACAACUGGAUCACGUGAAACAGAAAGCACAUAUGAGCGGCACACUACCAACUUAAAUGAAACCCCACAAUUGGGCUGGAUCAGGAAGUACAAUGAUAUAUCAUCUUUUAAUUCAGAAGAUGGGCCUGAUUUUGCAACCCAUGUGAUAUUUAAUGAGAGAUCAGUACAUAUAUCAUAUUUAAAUUCAGAAGAUGGGCCUGAUUCUGCAGCCCAUGUGAUAUUUAAUAAGAGAUCAGCACAGGGGCCUAGUCAAAUCACAACAGAACUCUUUUGUGAUAACGCGAAAGAACCUUUCUCUCAGAGCAUCGAUCAAAAAACCAUGCAGACCAAGGAGAAUAGCACGAAAAACUAGGAUAAAGCAGUAGUCAAUGUAAGCGAGGUCAGGGAUGAUGAUUCUACUAAGGAAUUAAUGGAAUUAGAAGUACAGGGGAUGUCGAGAGAGGUGCCUGUGAACACAAAUAUAAUCUCGAUAGAAAUAGGGGUCCAAGAUGAAGCUGCAACAAUGGAGAAUUGGGAGAUUGAAGACGUAGAGCCCCUGCGAGUCCAAACACAACUGUUGAUCAAAGAAAAAAAGAAGGAAACUUUUUUCUGGGUGCGACAAAAUCUGCUAAAAUUAGUCAAAUUACUAGGAGCUGAUUUUUUGGGCCAUAAGGAAGUUUUGGAACUAUUACUGCAAGUAGAUAGCUGCAGGAUAGCCAAAAGAAUGAAUCAUGCCAAAGUCCUGAAUAAUUGUGCUAAACUUUUUGAACCAGGCUCGAGGAGAUUGUUUCAAACCAUAGAGUGACUUGUGCAAUUGACAUACAAGGUUACUAGACUCCCCCUGAGCAAAAAAACCAGGUGGUUGCUCCAUAUAAACUUCUUCCUCAAGAUCAUCAUGCAGAAAAGCAUUCUUAAUGUCCAACUGAUAAAGAGGCCAAUGACAAACGGCAGCCAUAGAGAGAAAAAGACGAACAGAUGCUAUUUUAGCCACGGGAGAGAAAGUGUCACCCCAUGGUUUGAAACAAUCUCCUCGAGCCUGGUUCGGAAAGUUUAGCACAGUAAUAGGAUUCUAAUAUCCGAAGAAUGGGAUGAAUGUUUUAAUAACUUGAAACAAAUGCCAUUACAGAGGAAAACUUCUGAUCACACUCCUAUUGCCAUUCAAGGUGGAGCUUAGAAUAGGAAAAAAAGCUACAUUAAGUUCGAAAAUUGGUGGUUGAACACUGAUGGCUUCACUGACAGAAUUAGGGAUGGUGGAACAACUUUAAUUUUGCUAGUAGACUAGAUUACAUUCUAGCAUGCAAGAUGAAAGCUUUGAAGAGCAAACUCAAAGUGUAGAGCAAAGGUGAGCAUGGGAAUUUAGGUGUCCAAAAAAAGAUCCUGUUAAGUAAGUUGGCAGAAUCAGAAUCAGUAUCAAGAGAUAGAAUUCUUACUGAAGAAGAGAAUCAAAGAAAGCAGGGUUAAGGGUUAAUGCUAGAAUAUGAGGAAUUGAUUAAAAGGAAGGAGAUCGCAUGGAGACAAAGGUCCAGAGCUUUACGGCUAAAGGAGGGGGGACAGGAAUACAAAGUUCUUCCACAAAGUUGCAAAUUCUCACAAAAGGUAUAAUAACAUAGACCAGUUGCUCGUACAAGGAGAACUCACUCAGGAUUCUGCGAGAAUCGAAGGGGAGAUGGUAGAUUUUUACCAAAAUCUGUAACUGAAACAGUGCAAUAGAGACCAGUCAGUCACUUCCAUAAUUGCCCAGUUAUAACAACGGAAGAAAGGGAGCGCCUUUAAGCAAUAUUUAAGGAGGAGGAAGUGUUGAGAAGUAUAAAGUUAUGUGCAACAGAUAAAGCUCCAGAACCCGACGGCUACACUAUGAGGUUUUUCAGCAAGCGCUGGGAAGUGGUAAGAACAGAUGUCAUGAAUGCAUUCCACAACUUUUAUGAGCAAGAAAUGUUUGAGAGGAGCUACAAUGCCACUUUUAUAGAUUUAAUCCCAAAAAAGAAAGGUGCUAAAGAAUUGAGAGAUGUCAGACCAAUUAGCUUGAUUGGUAGCAUAUAUAAAAUAUUUUCCAAAGUUCUCACUGAAAGGUUGAAAAGGGUGAUGGGAAAACUUGUCGACUCUCAACAAAUGGCCUUCAUCAAAGGCAGACAAAUUAUAGAUGCAAUACUGGUGGCUAAUAAAGCUGUGGGAUCUAGAUAGAAGCAAGGAAAACUAGGAAUACUUUGCAAGUUAAACAUCGAAAAAGCCUAUGACAAUGUCGAUUGGGCUUACCUGCUAACCGUAUUGAGAAGGAUGGGAUUUGGGUAAAAAUGGAUUCACUCGAUCAGGUAUUGCAUUUCAACAGUGAUUUUUUCAGUUCUUAUCAAUGGUACCCCAGCAAAUCAUAGAAGGAUCUCAGACAAGGAGAUCCAUUCUCUCCUUUUUUGUUUUUACUAGUAAUGGAGGGCCUCAAUAGUAUAGUUAAAUCUGCAAAUAUUUAUAGGUGGCUAAGAGGUUUUAAUGUAGCUAGAGAAGGAAGAGACAACCUGGAAGUGACUCAUCUGCAUACUGAUACACUAAUCUUUUGUGAUGGUGAAGAAGAACAGCUCAAAGUACUAAGGAUAAACCUUGUCCUAUUUAAGGGGAUUUCUGGACUACACAUUAACUGGAGAAAGAGUUUCUUGUACCCUAUCAAUAAGGUCUCAAAUAUGGAUUCCCUAAAUGCUAUUCUGGGUGGUGAAAUUGGUGGUUUGCCGACCACGUACCUAGGUAUGCCAUUAGGAGCAAAAUCAAAGUCAAAAGAGAUAUGGAACAAUGUGGUUGAAAAGUGUAAACAGAAAUUAGCUAGAUGGAAAAGACAAUACUUGUAAUUAAGGGGGAGAUUAACUCUCAUCAAUUCAGUCUUAGACUCCUUGCCCACUUAUAUGAUGUCCUUGUUCCCUAUUCCAGCAAGAAUCAUUAGCAGAUUAGACAAAAUCAGAAAGAAUUUCCUGUGGCAAGGUAAUAAAGACAGAAAAGGUUAUCUAUCACCUAGUCAAGUGGAAGUCACUUAUCUGUGACAAAAAGCUAGGGGGUUUGGGGAUCAAGAAUCUGGAGUAUCAUAGCAAAGCACUCAGAAUGAAAUGGUUGUGGAAAUAUGCUAAUGACAAACAAACUUUAUGGGGAAAGUGAUAGAAGCCAAGUAUGAAGAGGAAGAUGGAUGGAUGACUAAAGAAGUUACAACUCCAUAUGGAGUUAAUUUAUGGAGAUCCAUAAGAAUCCUAUGGAAUGAGCUGAAAUGUUUCUCCAGGAUCAAAGUGAACAAUGGGAGAAAAACCUACUUUUGGAAUGAUGAUUGGCAUGAGAUUGGUAAUAUGGAAACUAGGUUCCCAGAAAUACACUCCAUAGUGAAUCACCGACAUAGUACAAUACCCGAACUCCGGACACAAGAGGGGUGGAAUUUCAGUUUCAGAAGGCAACUCAAUGAUUGGGAAGUACAAAGAAUGGAAGAAUUCAUAAGUCAAAUUGAACACUUUUGUGGGUUGAAGGAAGGAAGUGAUGAACUACGGUGGCUAGGCAGUGAAAAAGGCUCUUUCAAGGUGACCAAAGCUUACAGAAGGUUAAACAACUCCAACAUGCAGCUAAAGGUAGCCAUGGAAGAAUAUUUGGAAAGCCAAAAUUCCAUACAAAGUGGCAUGUUUUGUAUGGCUUUUGGCAAGGGAGGCAGUUCUUACUCAGGAGAAUCUCAUGAAAACGGGAAUAACUACAUGCCCCAAAUGCUUCCUAUGUGCUUCCUAUGUGGUGAGAACGAAGAAACAGUUAACCAUUUGUUUUUGCAUUGCAAGAUAACAGGACAGCUGUGGAGAGUGUUUUUGAACCUAAGAGGUGUAUCAUGGUGUAUGUCAAGGAAGAUUACAGAAGCCUUAUCAAGCUGGGAUCUAGUUGGAAUGCAAGCAAAGCGUAGAAGCAAAUAGAGGACAGUCCCAGCUAGCAUUUAGUGGUCAAUCUGAAAAGAAAGAAAUUCCAGGUAUUUUCAAUGUAGAAAAUAGUGUGCAACAAAUCAAGUUAAAUUGUAUCUUGAUUUUGUGUUUUUGGUGUAACCAAAUAUGGUCAAAUGAUCCUAUCUCUAUUACUGAUGUUUUAGACUCAUUAUAGAUAUAGGAUCAUAGAUUUUGGUAGUACGCUUGUAAAUAUGGUUGUGCACAACCUUGUUCUGAAUAUAUAAGAAGUUACCAGUUUCAAAAAAAAUAAAAAAUAAACAGGGUCUCGAUGUAAUAAUGUAGAAACUACAAUUCAGUAAUAAUCUUCACUUAUAUUUCUCACAGAUAAAUCAAAAGAUAAAACAAAUUUAAGACAUGGGAAAUGGCAUGCCUUCAGUCUUUUUUAGCUUUUUAGUAUGUUGAUUUUUCGACAAUUAGUUUAUGUUUUUUAACGCUCAAUUGGAGAAUAAACGAUUGAAUUCUACAACAUACAUGUAAGUUUUCCACAUAAUAUCUUUAUAGCUCUAUUUUCUAGUGAACUUUUUUGGCUGAAUCGCAGCAACCGUGGAUCCAUACACAGGAAUCUUAAAAUUAGAUUUUGCGAAUCAGACCCUCAGAUCCACAUCCAUGACAGAUACUCGCACUCAAGUCCAAGCAACUUAGGUCCUAUGUACUUUAGGUUGUUGUCAAGAGAAGUCCUUGGACGGUGCUACAAAUGGUAUUCAGAAGGAGAAAUAACAAGUGUGAAACAACCAGAGAUGAUUCAAACAAGUCUCUCCCACCUGUUGGUUUAUAGAGAUCUAACUUUCUUUAACCUAGUCAUACAAGAUGUGUAUCAUUGAUGGAUGCUUUUUGUAAAUGACAUGUAUUUCUGGACAAACCUACGAACUAAAUAAAACCCCAGAAUAAUGGAAAAGGAUUCUGGAGAGCAGGAUCUUAAGAUAUAGAAGGAUGAUACUAUAAAUGCGCUGCAAGUUUAACUAAUGAACUACUACAUGAGGAACAAAAGGUGAAGUGAGAUUGGACAAGAUUGUGAUGCCCAAAUUUAGAUAAUUUGGCUAUAGUUAGGCAGUCUUCCAGGGAAAUAGCAUGUUAUAUGAAGAUGCACAACAUAUAGUUAAAAAGGGAUGUUUGAAAUGACGAGUGCUACAGAAGUUCAAUGCAAUGAUAAGAUAAAAAUGACCAAUUUUACAUGAGAAUGAAUGUCAAGACUAAUCCAACACAUCCACAAGAUGAGAGUCGUGGAAAUACACAGAUUAAAAUAAAUAUGUGGCCAUUUAAGUAUGGACAAAUUUAGCAACAAUCACAGCAGACACAACGUAGACAAAAGAUUUUUUCAUCAUGUCCUACGCAGAUCUCCAAAUUCCGAAGGUGUUCCACCGUAACAACUGAAAUUGCGAAAACUUAAAGAAGCAGACCUAAAAUCAGCGAGAGGGAAAUCGAGACCUACAAUCUCGCAAAAUAAAUGCAAACUAAGCCAAGAACAAAACACUGUGGAAGCAAAUACUUCAACACCAACAAGUUAUGAUUAAGUGGCAGUUGUAAUAUACUAAUAUUCACUUACAUUAAACCCAAUGCUCGUUUGAAGUCUUUUUAUUUGAUUAAAGACUAGUAUGUCAAGGAUAAGUAUGUGACCUAGAAAUCUAAGUUCAAGGAACCCUACUUUUUUUCUUUAAAAGACUAACCAUAUAUCCAUAUUACCAUGAAACUAAAUCCAAAUAAAGUGAAACGGAUAUAGAGAAUACAUAUAACUGCACCAACUAACUGUAAAUCGAUAAAUUAGUUGGGUCUUAUAAAAAGUUGAAGAAACCAUCAAAACAUUUUCUAGGCUAUUUCAGGCUUCAAAUUGCUGAUCACUGAUUUACUCUUGUAAGGGGCAUCCGAUGGAAAACACUGAGCUCUACAAAGAUAUCUUUCCACUUGGUGGUUUUACUAUAAGGUUAGACAUGUGACAAACCAUUCCUAUAUGCCUAUGGCAGUUUUGUAUGGGGGAUCAAAAUGAAGAUACACACAUUCAAGGCCUAUUCUUUGCAGAGUUCUCCAUUCUGCUUCUCUAGGUGAUCAAAGCUUCAUUGCCCAGCAAUCUUACUUAUGACAGGUUACUGCUAGUAUAGACAGACUCUCUAUAUAUAGAGAAUCUUAUAUUUUUUAAAUUCCUUGUCCGUGUAUUUUAGUAGCCUUUAUGUACUAGGCGGGUACCCCUUCACUAUAUAUUUAGCAUGUUCCAAUCCAGAAAACUUAUAAGAGAGAUCAUUCAUGUUCCAAUUCACCGUAAAAGUCUUCAAUUAUCCUAGUUAUGAUCUACUUGGUGCUCAUGAUCUACUUUCUCAUUUAAAGGGCAUCUAAAUUCUCAAGGUUUUUGAGUUUGAAAUAUAUAAGAGUUAAUUGCUUGGAUGGUCUCCCAAGUUACAGAAAUGACUCAGUAAAGUCAAUAGAUCCUUUAAAUUUAUCAGAACUAAACAUUUCUGAUCUAUUAAAAACAACAUUAAAUCCUGACAAAUAAAGGGAAAUUGUAGCUUUUGGAAAAAAAAAAAUGAAGGUAAAGUCUACAAGAUCAAUAUAGUGACACCUAACAAGGUGUAACAAUUGUUCCAUGUUCCAAAAUAAUGAUGGUCCCUAGUACCAUGAUCAAAAUUUUCAAAUUCAAUCUCAAAUAUCUAUAAUCAAAUGUUUCACAAAAAACAUAGUAUUUACAGGUACUACGAACAACCACAUCAAAGAGCUAAAAAAAACCACAAUCGAAGAAGAUAUUAUAUGACUCAUCAAAUAGUAAUAGAUGGUUGUAUUUUGUAUCAUGUGAAGUCAAAAUUAAUAUACCUGCAAUAUAAUUAGAAGUAACAUAAGAGGAGACAUAGAGAAAAGGAUUGGUUUAUUCUCAUCUUUUUUUUUUUUUCUUUUCACUAGAAUCAACAAGGGGCUUCUGUGCUUUACUAUGUGUUUGUGUGGUAUCUCGUGCCUUGAGCAGGGGGUCUAUCGGAAACAGCCUUUCUACUUCAUUAGAGGUAGAGGUAUGGACUGCGUACAUCUUACCCCCCAGACCCCACUAGGUGGGAAUACACUGGGUUUGUUGUUGUUGUUGUACUAGAAUCAACAAGGGAUGUGUAUGGUUUAUGAGAAGAGUUAAUUCUUGAUGGGUAGUUUCUAGAGAAAAAAGUAUUUUAAAUUCACCUGCAUGUUCUUAAAAUAAUGAAGAACAAGAGAUUAGAUGGUCAUACGAACGAACUCAACAGCAUAAGAAAUCAUGGGAAAUCUUGAGUUGUAAUAUAAUAUCAACUCUAUAUUCUUCAUGAUCAUUUUGGGAUACCAACAGCAGAAAUAGAUAUAUGUUUUCCAAACAACGAAUAUAAAAAAGAAACUAAAAUAAGUUAAGAAUCUGCUACGUCUACAAAUUUGUAAAGCUAUUGACACUCUAUACUUGCUCUGAGCUCCAACUAAAACUGUCAUGUGAUAAAAUGGAAUGGAGAAGAAACUCCAUUUACAAAGGAUUUAAUCUGCACAAAGGUAUAUUUAUAGGACAACUUAGACCUACCCUCAAACUUAAGGGAGACCAUCUAUGUCAUUCUCUGGUGCUUCCCAUAGUAGGAGUUAUUUUGCGGGACAGUGCAUAAAACAUGAGUGAUUUGAUUUGUGACUUUACUGAGUCAUUAUAUAAGGAAUUAACUCAAUAUGUAAUAAAAUUAGAGAUUUUACUUUUUGAAUCAUCAGACCUUGAAGAUGUCUUACAUAACAGGGUAACACUAUAGCAGCAUAAACAUGGUAAACUAUGCAGUAUUUGAACAAAGAAGUGAUUGAACAUAUUAGAACAUUUACCGAUCAGAAGGAUCUCGUCCAGGCAUUUCAACAAAAAGAUCAUGAUCGCAUAUGAUUUGUAGAAAGGUAAGCUUGCAGUCAUGCAGCACUGUUUGACACACUCCAGAGAAUUUAUCGAGGUACAAGGACACCUGUAAAUGAGAGCAAUUACAAGGAAGAUGUAUAAUUAUUAAACUGUGGGGAAAUAAAAAUUAGAACAUUUUUUUAAUGUAACAUCACACAACAUAAUGAUAUCAAGCAAACUCCACUUGGCGCUAAACAAAAUAGCAGCUGCAGCAGGGCUGAAGAAAAUGUAAGUUUGCCUUGUAAAUUAAAUACAACAAUUGCAUGAACAUUUUAAUGAAAAUGAUGUCAGGUUCAGCAUACCUAAUCGACUUUCUUUCUGUUAUUUUUCCGUGUCAAAGCAGGAGGGAAAUCUUUUUUGUUAAUUGAUCUAAAGGAAGAUUGCACUGAUUGGUACAUUCUGGUGAAAAGAAGGAACCAUGUAAGCAGUAUAAAGGUUGUGAGAAUUCGGUGUAGAUUUAUAGGGUUUUGGUCAACUCAAGUGUCCUCGAGAAACAUCUUUUUGAGCCAACUAACUAAAGGAAAAUUGCAAUUAUUGGUAUGUGCUGGUGAGCGAAAAGAAGAAAUAAUGCUAGCAUUAGCAGUAUAAGGGUUGAUAACAUAAAUUCAAGAUAUGCACGUUAUAAAUCAGGCCCAAAUGUACUUCUAGGUUACAAAUAUCCAACCGAACUAGUUUGGACUGAGGCUGUUAUUAUUGUUUUGUAUGUCAGAUGUAGUGUUCUGCAUCUACCAUCAGAAGGCAUAGAAAAGAUUUGUGGCUGAUAGGCAAAAAUAAAUUAGUAUACGAGUAUAGGAUAAUACAGAACUUCAAUAGGUGUGGGUGGUUUAUUCUGAUUGAAAUAAUAAUGGGGGAGGGAGAGAGAUCAUCAGUAAUCAUCUUGAGAUUAGCUCUAACCCUGGCCGGUUGGAUGUGGUUCAAAAGAUUUUUAAGUUACUAAGGAAGGCUAGAAUAACAGCAAAUAUCCCACCUUUAUGCCGAUGACUAAUAGAUAAGUAAAUGCAGUAGCACUGAAUAAAGGAUUGGACGUUGAACCUAAAUUAUUGGAAGGAUCAGCAAAUCUUGGGGAACACAGUUGUCAUGGCAGAGGAUUCUCUGAAGUAGGGGCGACAUAUAUUAGCAGAUGACUGCUUAGUACAUUUGGAAAUAUCACUUGAGAGGUCCCAGAUUUCCUAAGUAUACGAAUACUGGGGUAAACAUUCUUUGAAGAGCCCAGUAGGAACCAAGAUGAUGGAUUGGGUCUCACACAUUGACUGAAGUAGAGAGGACUGAGAGGGCUAAGAAGUGAAGAACAGCAGUAACAGCAAUUAGGGAAGAAUAAAUCAGAAUAAUGAGCAACAGUUGAGUUCAAAAGCUUACCAGUUCAAAAACUUGAUGAGGCUCGAUGAUGGAUAAAAGAUCAUAACAAAAAAAAGCCAAACUACUAUUUAAAUGCUUGGCCAAGCUUAGACCUUUCUUGCAGCGCUCAUGAACUUCUGUUAAAAGGCAAUCGUACAAUUGAACAACACAUCUAAAAACGCCUUCUUUCAAUUGCAUUGGCGGGACAUCCUCACCUGUGCAUGAAAGAACGAAACAUGCAGCUUAUCAAUAUAAUGCCUCAAUUGGUGAUUAAAACACAACUAUUCGGCAGUUGUAAAUUUAAAAUUUGAAAAGUCCUAUUACGCACUCAAACAGAUUAAAAAUAAUGAGUAGUCUAAGACUCCAAAACCCAACCUCUGAAUUCGCAUUCUUGUAAUGGAAGCCAUGGUUAUUAACUCAAAAAAACAAAGUCGAGCAAUGUGAAGCAAAUGAAGGCUCAUCAUUCACAACGGACAUAGAUGAAUUAGACUACCUAGCUUCAACCUUAAAUGAAAAUGAUUAGAGACUAUCAUGUAUAAGAGACAUAUGUAGCAAGGUGUGAGCAAAACUACCAACUUCCAUUGUAAAAUUUUCAUUUUUCAUCUAGCAUUACACUAGAACAUCCCAUUCCAAGAAAAUAUUAUCAUAAGUGAGAAGAGAUUCCCUUCUACAACCCUUCGUCACUCGAACGAACCCAAUGAAUAAAUGGAAAACCUAAGAGUGGAGACAAAAGUUCUUGUUCAUCACUCCACCACCUGCGCUCCCCAAGUUUCAACUCAACAUCCAUUUUAUCAGUUGGAGUUACAAAACUCCCAAGUAAAAACAUCAUUUCAGUUAGAAUAGGAAUAGGAAUAGGAUUCUACAUAAUGUCCUGCAGGUAAAAGAGUAGUAAUGUAGCUUCUAUAUAUAAGGCUCAAUGUAAUAAUGUAAAACAACACAUCUUAACCAUUGGUUUUUAUCAGAGACAUUGGAAAAUAACAGAGAAAAAAUAUUAAGAGAAAAAUACUGCCAUGAGGCCAAAGGGAAUUAUUUUUAUUCAGCUUUGUUGAACUCUACAUUUAUGAGAAAAAAAGCAUUAAAAACAUGAUAAUAAACUAGCCUAGAAUAUCUUCAGAAAACAUUUUUAACUAGUAACUAAGAAAUAGGAAAAUCCAACUAACAACCUAUUAACUAGGAUUUAUUCAAAAAACUAAAGCAGCAACAUAAAAUUACUGCAAUUCAAAAGCAAUAACUCUAACAUUAACAAUAUUUUCAAGUCUUUUCCUCACAUGGUAUUAUAGCCACAGUAAGAAAAAACCAGGGCUGUUCGUGUGUCUUUCUGGUGACUCCUCGGGUUUAAUUUACGUCACUUAACUUUCGGGGUGUGUUGUGUGAAAACCAACACCACCCUUGGAUCCAGCAAGUUUAACAAACACGGAAGAAUCUCCCGCAAAAACUCAUGAGCCCGCACGCGCCUGUCUAAGUUCUGACAUCUGCGACGCGUCUAACACACGUACAAGCGUGUGAGGCUGUUUUCACGAAUUUUUUUUUCUAUUAGGGUCACGUAGUGAUUCAAACCCUACCCCACUAAUCAAAUCCCUAUCCCAACAUUCUCUAGUAGGCAGAUUGAGUUUUCCGGCAAAAUUUUUAGCUUUUCCAACUUUUUCCAUUCGUUGCUUUGAGUCGAGGCCGUCCAACUAUUUCGAGCAGAGCCCACCAACCGUUGAUUUAGGGUUCAAUCGGAUUCAUUUUUCCGGUAAAAUAUGUGUUUUCUGAUGGUAUCUCAAAUUUUUCUUUUGCAUUGUGGAUCUUGACUAAAGUGCUUACAACCCUCAUUAUUUCCCGACUCUAACAGCAACUACCAAUCAUUUCCUGCAAACCUCUGAGUUAUAAUUUGUGAUUAUUUGCUUGGAACUCUCUUCAAUUCAAUCAUAUAUUUUGGAUUUGUCGUUUUUACUUUAAAAAUAUGAGAGUUGGAAAUUCAAGUUCUAUGAUUACCUCAAAACCCUUUAUGAGAACAAAAAAUCAAACAUCACAAUCUAUGAAGAAUCGAUGACGUGGUCAUUUGGAAAGAUCUCGACCUAAUUGUAGUUAUUGUAAUAGGUUUGGAUACACACGUGAAGUAUGACAUUCUCUGCAUGGUCGGUCACCCAAGAAUGCUCAUGUUGCUCAGACUAACACAGAAGGUAAUCAAUAGGUUUAUACAUAGGAACGGGAAUACAACGAGUUCCUACAGUUUCAAACAAGUAUGCAAACGUCUCUACAAGUAACCUCUGUUGCUCAGCCUAAUACCUCCAUUGUUGGUAAUUCUUUUGCUAGGUGUUUCACAGUCUAAUAAUCUUGGACCAUGGGUGGGUCGUGGACUCGAGCACCUUUGCUCCUAUUAAUGGUUAUAAAUCAUUUUUAUCCCGUAUUAUUUAUUCAAGUCUCUUCCCAUCAUUACUUUAAAAGCAAAAGGAGUUAAACAAGCUAAUCCCCUGUCAUUUAUCACUAUAAACUUUAUUCUUUAUGGCCCUAUUUGUCCUUUUAAUCUUGCAUCUAUCCGUCGUGGCCUAAAUUGUGCCAUAAUAUUUCUUGAUGAUUAUUCUAUUAUGCAUGACCACAAAACGAGACUAACAAUUGGCAUAGGACAUUAAUACCAAAGCCUUUACUACCUUACCUAUCCUGAUUUCCUCCAUAGCAUGUCUAUUUACAACCCCUCCAGACUUGAUCCACCAACAUUUGGAACAUCCAAAUUUAUCCAAACUACAAAAUAUGGUGCCUAGUUUGUCCACAUUAAAUCGUGUGAUGUGUCAACUUCACACACUCUAAGAGUUGUGUAGAGUCAAUUUGUUCGUUAGUCCAUCUGAUAUUUGGGGUCUCAACCUUCGGAUUUCAAUAUUUUGUUAAUCUCAUUGAUAAUUAUCCAAGAUGUACUGGAUUUUCUUAAUAAAAGAUUAUUUUGAGAUUUUUUUCCAUAAUCAAGUGUUUUGUACUGAAAUACAAAAUCAAUUCAGCAUUUCUAUUUGUACUUUUCAUAUUGAUAAUGCCUUAAGAUAUUUAUCCUAGUUUCAGCAGAUUAUGACUCACCAAGAAAUUAUUCAUCAAACAUUGUGACCAUAAAUCCUGUAGCAGAAAGGAAAAAUAGGCACCUCAUUGAUAAGUUUACACUUUGCAUAUUGUUUUCCUGGUACAAUAAGGACUUUACUUUCCUUGUACUUAUCAUUAACCUCCCUUAUUUUUUGUUGUUUCCUUUUUUUAUUAGAAUAGGGGUUGUCUUUUCCUAACUUUAUGUGAUAGCUAUAAAAACUUGGUAGGCUCAUCUUGGAGCUGGGGAAGUGUUUUGGAUGGCGAAAGGUGACAAGAGGUGACAAGGCCCAGCUCGCCACAUUGCGAAGCGAGCGCCUUUCGAAAGUGCGGUGACAAUUAAUACAAAAAAAUUAAAAUAAUAUAUAAAUGAUCAAAAAACAAUUUUUACAUAAUACAUAUGCUUAUUGUUAGUUUGUUAAAACUGUAAUACUGUUACAGAGGAAGAAAAAUAGAAGAAGAAGAAGAGAAAAAGAGGAAAAAAAAAACAGUAUGUCAAUCGAGUAGCUGGAGCCGUCGGAUUAAGAAAAAGAAGAAAGAAGAAAAAAAAUAAAAAUCAAUACUUACCAAUAGCUGGAGUCGCCGGAGUAGUUGUCGCCGGUCGCCGGAGUUGAAGUCGGACUUGUGAGAUGGUAGAUGGUAGCAGCCGCAGUCGCCAAUCGAGUAAGUUGGUAGAGCCAAAAUAGGAAAAUAAGCCCUAAAAUUAGCCUUUAACCCUAAAACCCUAACAUUUAAAAAAUAAAUAAAAAGGUGACGCCAGUGUCGCCUCGCCAUGUCGCCUCUCGUAAAGGCGUCGCCUUUUGGAUGUCGCAGCGCUACGACGACAAGAGGCGACUAUGCCUCACCUCGCCUCUCCAUUCGCCAUUGCCUACGUGGCGAGCGUCUUUUACAACACUGAGUAGGGGGUCUAUCGGAAACAGCCUCUCUAUCUCACCUCUGAGAUAGUGGUAUGGACUGCAUACACUUACCCUACCCGAACCCCACUUGGUGGAAAUAUACUGGGUAUGUUGUCGUCGUCGUCGUCGUCGUCGUUGUAUGAUUACAAGCACCUUUGGAAAUCUUAUAAUUCGGAUUGAACUUGGUAAUAUCUUGGGCUCUUGUUGAAAAUUAAUUUUUUAAGUUCAAUCUGGAAAAAGGAUUCCCAAUCUCAGGUGACUGUAAUUAGAAUAUGCAAAAUCUCCUCCCAAAGAUAAUUCUACCAAGUAUUUAUAACUAUAGAAAAGAAUAGGCAAACACAAUCCCUAUUUUGAUAAUGAAAAGAAAUAGCUAUAAAUAAGGAAAAGAUAUAAUGCAAAGAGGAAAAGAAAGUUCCUAUGGGAACAAUAACGGAAGUAGAAACCAACACAGAAAAGGAAACAAGACGACUACUCUUGGAAAGAAAAUAUAAACCAAUUUAGUAAACGAAACAAGAAAUCACAUUUUUAGAAGAAAACAUGAAACAACACAGAGAUGCUUUAUCUUUACAAUUUUGAAUUCUGUGCUUCAGUGCAAUCCAAGACUCCAAGCUAUCCAGUCACAUCAACAACAUUCCCUAGAUACCUAAUAUGAUAUCACAGUUCCAGGGGAUUAUCUCACACCAAAUAAAGUUGUGUUGUUGGGAAAAGGAGAUCAGGCUAAAAGUGUACCUACCCAACCAGUUGUUUUGAGUUCAAGAAUUCUCUUUCCUUAGUUGAGGCUUUCAGUAGGUUCAUUUGAUAAGAUAUGACUUGUGGGUAUGGGUGGCAUGGGUCCCAAGGAACUCCGGAGCGUUUGGGAGUAUUUGAACCUGAACUAGUGGCCUUGAGUUCGUAGAGUUGACCAAAGUCUAACAAUUUGAGUAAACAAGCUUAGAUGCAUGAUUUAAAGGUUAUGGUAAGUCCACGUGAAGAGUUUGAACUUGUCUGGAAACCAACAUCAUUUGGUCGGACUUCUGCAAUAGUUUGUCAUUCCGGGCAUGUGAGGUCCAAAUGAGAAUCCGAUAGUUAGACGAAAAUUGCAAUGAUGUUUAAAUGUGAUCUGCAAUUUUUUAUUUCAUUCCGAUGAGUUUCAGGACGGGUUUUGAAUGUGUUUAGUGGUUUGGUGUUGUUUUGAGCAUAAAAGUGUAAUAACAACUCAAAGGUCAGAUUUCAAUUCUAGAGAUCGAAAUUUAAUUUUGAGACUUCUGGGAGUUUGAGAAUGAUUUAUAGGAGUGAUCUGAAAAAUUUAGUGUCACUCUAAUAAGUCCCACUCGGGUUUUCAACGCGAAACGUGCCAUUAAAUCCUUAAUGAGCGGAAACAAAAUCGCAUCAUGCAAACGAGCUUAGAAUCAUGGCUUGAAAGUUCCAAUAGGUUUGUAUGACAAUUUAGAAUUUUGUUGAAUGAAUUGGAUGGAUCCCGAGGGGAUUGGGAGUGAUUCAAACAUUUUAAGUUGAAAACUAGUUAUUUUGAAGAUUAAGAGUUGAUCACGGUCAAAUAUGUGUCUCCGGACGACCUUGAAAUGGUGAUUUGAGAGCUCCAACAAGUGAGCAGGGUGAUUUCAGAGUAAUUUGCAUGUUUAGGUUGCAUCUGAAGAGGCUCGGGUGAGUGUCAGCGUGUCGGGAGCAAGUUUUGAAAUAUUUAAAGUGCUGAAAUCUGAAAAGUUCGGAAUUGGUUUGCCUACAGGUUUGGGUUGUAGAUGACAUCACGGUUUAGGGGAAUUUGGGUCGUAACAAAAAGACCAUCCAAUUAAGAUCACUAAUAUAAUUACAAAACACCACAACUGCUUUUCCUUGAUCAUAUACAAAAGAUCAGUUUUCUUCUUUUUUUUUCCUAUAUUGUAAUUUCCCCAUUUUUCUUCUUUAUUGCAACUUGCCACUUGUGGGAAUAUACUAAAAAGUGAUUGAAACAUUUGAAGGACUUCGCAGUAACUUCCCAUGGGACUCAAUGGAACGCAUUAAAAAGUUUCAUCUUAUGAAUUGGAGAGUUACCACACCUCCAACGGAAUGGGAAGGGGGCUUGGAGUGAAAGAUCUUCAGG